rnacentral:misc_RNA from 1 species
GAUGAAGAACGCAGCGAAAUGCGAUAAGUAAUGUGAAUUGCAGAAUUCAGUGAAUCAUCGAAUCUUUGAACGCACAUUGCGCCCAUUAGUAUUCUAGUGGGCAUGCCUGUUCGAGCGUCAUUAAGUCCACUUAAGCCCUGCUUAGUGUUGGGAGACUGCUCCAGCGGUGCUACCCUGUAGCUACCCUGCAGCUCCUCAAAGACAGCGGCGGAGUUGUGGUAUCCUCUGAGCUUAGUAACUUGUUCUAGCUUUCGAGUACACCACCUCCCCUGCCGUAAAACCCUUAAUUUUUAAUGGUUGACCUCGGAUCAGGUAGGAAUACCCGCUGAACUUAAGCAUAUCAAUAAGCGGAGGA